UCGGGUGCAGAACACGCGAAACAGACGGCAAGCGACUCUUCCGGAUUCCAUCAGCGAAGCGAGACGCGGCGCAGAGGAAGGUCUGGCUUCAAAGAAUCAGCCGCGCUGAUUUCAACCCAACACAAUGGUCCCGGCUGUGUGAGGAUCACUUCACGGAUGAUCAAUUUGAGCCGGUGAUUCUGCAGAGCUGUGGCACAAAAAAAUUGAAGCGUCAAGCCAUUCCAUCGCUCUUCGUUCAUCGGAAGCAGCUGAAGCAGAGGAAGCCGCCUGCCAAACGUUCUGGUGUGACAUCUUGCAGCACACAUUUUUCACCAUCACAAGAGAGAAAUGGUGUUGUUGGUGAGUCAGUAAUUACUGUGUGAUGCCAAUCACCAUGUUGCACUUGGUACGAUGCAAAGCCCAUUGAUGGUGAAUGUUCUUUUUUUUCAUGAACUCUUUGGAAGCUGGCUCUGCUGA